GGGUGUUACAGCUCUUUAGAAUUUGUCUAGCAGGCUUUCAGGUCUUCGCCAGAAAGCCUCA
ensembl:snRNA U7 U7 small nuclear RNA